rnacentral:rRNA from 1 species
GAUGAACGCUGGCGGCGUGCCUAAUACAUGCAAGUCGAGCGAACAGACGAGGAGCUUGCUCCUCUGACGGUAGCGGCGGACGAGUGAGUAACACGUUGAUAACCUACCUAUAAGACUGGGAUAAAUUCGGGAAACCGGAGCUAAUACCGGAUAAUAUAUUCAACCGCAUGGUCCAAUAGUGAAAGGCGGUUUUGCUGUCACUUAUAGAUGCAUCCGGGCCGCAUUAGCUAGUUGUUAAGGUAACGGCUUACCAAGGCAACUAUGCGUAGCCGUCAUGAGAGCGACAAGAGGCAGCUUGGCAGUGAGACACGUUCCACACUCCGACGGGAGGCCGCAGUAGGGACUCUUACGCAAUGCGGGAGAGCCGAACGGAGCAACGCAGGCUGAGGGCUGAUCCACUUCGGCUCGUAAAACUCUGUUAUUCUUGAAGAAGAAAAGUGCAAGUAACUGUGCACGUCUUGACGGUACCUAAUCAGAAAGCCACGGCUAACUUCGUG